ACGAAGGGGGCUAGCGUUGUUCGGAAUUACUGGGCGUAAAGGGCGCGUAGGCGGCCGAUCAAGUCAGAUGUGAAAGUCCUGGGCUUAACCUGGGGACUGCAUUUGAUACUGAUUGGCUUGAAUUCGGGAGAGGAUAGCGGAAUUCCCAGUGUAGAGGUGAAAUUCGUAGAUAUUGGGAAGAACACCGGUGGCGAAGGCGGCUAUCUGGACCGACAUUGACGCUGAGGCGCGAAAGCGUGGGGAGCAAACAGGA
rnacentral:rRNA from 1 species